UACGUAGGGUGCGAGCGUUAAUCGGAAUUACUGGGCGUAAAGCGUGCGUAGGCGGUUCGUUAAGUUCGUUGUGAAAGCCCCGGGCUCAACCUGGGAAUGGCAAUGGAAACUGGCGGGCUGGAGUAUGGCAGAGGGGGGUGGAAUUCCGCGUGUAGCAGUGAAAUGCGUAGAGAUCCGGAGGAACCCCAGAGGCGAAGGCGGCGCCCUAGCUCGGUUCUGACGCUCAGACACGAAAGCAUGGGGAGCGAACGGG
rnacentral:rRNA from 1 species